rnacentral:rRNA from 1 species
UACGUAGGCAGCGAGCGUUGUUCGGAGUUACUGGGCGUAAAGAGUGCGUAGGCGGUUUUCUAAGUUUGGUGUGAAAUCUCCCGGCUUAACUGGGAGGGUGCGCCGAAAACUGGAAGGCUUGAGUAUGGGAGAGGUAAGCGGAAUUCCUGGUGUAGCGGUGAAAUGUGUAGAGAUCGGGAGGAACACCGGUGGCGAAGGCGGGUCUCUGGGCAAUUCCUGACGCUGAGGCGCGAAAGCGUGGGGAGCAAACGGG